rnacentral:lncRNA from 1 species
NGGCUGAUUUGUUAACCAAAGGCUUGGGGCAAUGCCAACAUAUGCAUCUUUUGGGCAAGCUGGGUGUGCUCGAUCAAUAUAUUGCACCCUCCAGCUUGAGGGCGAGUGAGUAUUAUCGGAGCUAAGCUAGUAUACAAGUUGGUUAUGUGAAGGUGUCCAGGUGGCAGUCUACUGUUAGUCGUGAACUGGUCUUGCAUAACAGCCUAGUUCCGGCUUAGCUAAGCUUAAUUACAGGCUUAGCUAUUACUCCAUCCAUUCAUUUUUACUUAGCACGUUUUGACUUUUCACAUCUCUUAAGAAAUAAUAAAUGAAGUGCAUAAUUUACCAUGAUACUCAUAUUAAUUGAUGCAUAUUUUAUUGGAUUAGAGAAAAUGAUUUGAAAUGAUUAAUAAAUACUGUGGGUAUAACAGGAAAAAAAAUUUGUCUUCUCUUAAUAUGCGUAAAGUGUCAAGUAAAAAUAAAAAUCUAUUUUUAGUAUACCUGCCAAGUAAAAGUGAAUGGAGGGAGUAAUUUGUUAGCAUACUCACUUGUAUAUAUUGGCAUACACAAGUAAUGAAAUGUGAGCGGUUAUUAUAAGUUUAUAGCAUUCCCUUCUUUUCUUCUUCUGCAGGUACCUCCAUUGGAGAGCUUUGAAUUCUCCAUUUUUAUUCUCUGAUUAGUUUAUAUUUUGCCAAUUAUUUAUGAUUGAUAAAGAUUACAUUGGUAGGUAAAAUUUGGAAUUAUGUUCCAAUUAUUUAAUUUUGAACGACUGCAAAAUCUGCAAGAUUGUAUCACUAAACCAUGUAUUUCGAGUAGGCAAGUUAAAUGUGGGUUUAGUGGGAAACAAAUCCUUAAAAUACGUGACUUAUGGACACUUUUGGUAUUUACUAAACGGGUAAACACGUAAGUACAUCAAAAGAUAUUUAUAAAUUGAUUUGAGUAUACCAAAAUGCCUUCAUAAUCUUGUCCCUUCAGAAACAUAUGAUGAAUAAGAAAUAAUCUCCUAUUAUUUUCCUAAAAAAAGAAAUCCUUAUCACAAUUCGACAAAGCGAUCGGAUAUUACUCCUCUUUCUUUGAAGUCACACGGUCGACUCGGUCCGCAAUUUUGUGGUGGAGUUGUUUGCUCUAAAUUUCAACCUUCAUAUUGAAAUUUCCCACAAUGUUUAUAAAAAUCAACAUUGUCCAUGUUUUCCCCUUCCUUUUUCACCCCUUUUUCCUUUUAUGAGCGAGGGGAGGUUAGUUUGAAAUAAAUGCAUGGUGAUAUCGACAUAAGUAAGAGAUAUUGAAGACCUUAAAACACUUGUAGUAGAUGUAAAAUUAAUUAAAAUAAAAGUCCCUCAUUUCUAAAAUUUAAAAUUUUAAAUGAAGUGGUUCAUAAAAUUCAAUAUGAAGUCUACUGCCAACUAUUAACAAAAUAUUUCGCAUGUUUGACCCAAAAAUAAAUAUUUUGAGGUAAUUGUACUUUACUGAAUCUUUUUCCAUAUAAAAGGAUGCGUUAAGACGUUAAACAAACUAUAUAAAGAAUGGUCCCUCUUUAAAAGUCUAAUCUUUAGAUAAGGUAGCUUCCAUAAUUCAAUAGCUUCUUUUGACUUCUUCUUUAAGAACGGCUGAAUUUGUUGAAAAUCUAUUUAACGAAUGGGAUUAGCAACAGCAAUGGUACAGUUAUGUUUAAUUAGUAUUUAAUUCUAGGAUACAUGCUUGGCAGCAUUUUCUGUCUUGUCAUAUCAGUUUUUUACACAUUAAAAAUUAAUAAUAAGAAUUAUUUGACUAAUUCUUCGUUAUUUAUUCUUUGAUCUUUCACUAUCGCUUCUUCAUCAAUUGGGUAGAGUGAAAAGGAAAUUGAUUGGAGAAAAAUAAGUGUUACAUUUUAACUUAAAAAUUAGACGCUCUUUUAAAUAAAUAAAUAAAAAUUAAUAUCUCCUCCUUUCCGUGCUUAUUCAUUCAAACCAAUCAACCCCUCAAUAAACUUAGAAUGAACCUUUAAUUUUAGCUUCUAGAAUUUUAUUUUUUUCACAUGUCGAAUAGUAUCUUUUUUUAAUCUACCGUUAAGCAGGGAGGUAUCUUCUUUUUCUUUUAAUUUGGUAUAGCAUUUUCGGGAAACAAGGGAACUAAAAAUAACAUUCUGUAGCAUAAGUUAGUAGACUUUUCUUAUACUGAUCAAUAAUAUUUUCUGAUCCAAUAGGGUUGAAAAUUAUACAUUCUCUCCUCCAAAAUAGAAUAUUCGGGAUUUAAACUCUAUGGGUUCAACUAUUAAAGUUUUUAGCAUUGAACUUAUAAUAUUUUUAAAGUUAUCGGUUCAUAUCUAAUAUUUUUACAAUUUUAAUAAAUAUUUACUCCGCAUAAAAAAUUAUGGGUUCAACUGAACCCGUCGAUAACACAUUACAGUCGCCCCUGAUCCAAAAGUCAAAGACGACAUAUACGAAACAUUUUUCUCAAAUUCUGUCAUACUGAACCCACACAUAAUUUAUGGAUAAGCUGAUUCCACCCCUAUUCUUCCACACUUUGGACUUGCUAUAAAAAAUCAUAUUUGGAGGCAAAGUGGAACAAGAUAUAUAGUUUUAGAGAAGCCUAGGCGUGGAAAUUAAAAAUGUCUAUCUAAAAGAACACAGUUACAUGGCCUCUGUUAAUGCUGGUUUUCUUUGUACUGUGCAUGAAUUCGUGGUGUGAACAUGGUGAAGCAGCAAGAAUCUUCUCAGACUUCUCUGCAAUUCCAGUUGUUGCAUAUCUUCCCUUUUACUCUUGAUCUCUCCUUUUGUUUUUAGACAAAACAAUGUGUGUGUGUUUAAAGUUUGUGUUUUAGACAUUUGAAUGUGUUGAUAUCGUUAUUGGCAGUGACGCAGAGGCUUGGCGGACUAGACAGCAACCGCCGGAGCACCAGGGAGUCUCCCGGAGGGAGCUAUCCUGCCCCGGCAGCUAAUGUAAACGACCAUGUACAUCACUAGCUACUGCUUGAUGUCAGUGGCGAAAUCAGAAAAUUCAAUAAGGAUAUUCAAAUUUUGAACACUCUUUGCCCAGUGGGCUACGUAAAGGUGUUCAAAAUCUAUUUAUUAAUUAAUAACAACUACUUAAUAUUUUACCUUAUACGUAGUAUAAUUUUUUGGCGAAAGGUGUUCAGUUGACCACCCUCGGGCCAACAUAGCUUCGCCCCCUGCUUGAUGUCAUAGUAUGUUGGAUUAUCUAUGUAACUGGAUCAAGAUUUAGUGACCUCUAUUUUGUUGUGGACUUCUCACUUAUAAUAAGAAGACUUUGUUUUGUCUGUGUUUAAGAGAUUUUUCUAUGAAAGCAAUGAGAGUAUAUUUUACUUAGUUUGUAUUCUUAAUAACUACAUCUUUUCCUGAAUCUUUCCAUGGAGGUCGAGUGAAAAAAAGUUACUUCCUUGACCUUUGAAUCUUUGAUGUGCCUAAAAUUUAGACUUCAUAAGAUGAACAGAAAAGGAAACGGUUGAUAAUUAUAAUAAAGAGAAGAUAGAAUCUUUGUUUCUACCUUUGAAUCUUUCCCAUGAUUGCCAUUCACAAAUGAACAUGAGUAAAAUAAUUGUAAGCAAAAAAGAGGUGUUUAUGAAAUGAUCAGUUUCUAUUUGGAUGAGAAGUUUUACACUAAUAUACACAACAUUUAGAUUUCUAACUCAUGGUUGUUUGGCCAAAAAUUUGGAGGAAAUGCAAGUUUCACCCCCUUAGAUGACAGUACCACUAGGAAUCAGUGCAUCCUUGAUAAUAUUAACAAUCCCGCUCUUAAUGAAGUAUCCAUUAGUCUCCCUAGCUGCUUCUUGAACACUGCCAAUAUUAGUGAUCUGACAAUAUAAAAUUCCAUGUUAGGGAAUCAAACUUAUUUAGCUCAUUCAUAUUAUGGAAAAAAAAAAUUAAAAGGAAAAAUCUAUGAGAUAAUUAGAGAAGUCAGUCGGACUAAACACAUAACUCGUCUUAGCUACUAGGUUCGCAAUUAAAUAUCUAUACAUAUUUUAAGAAUUUUAUUACAAAUACAAAAUUUAAGCAAAAGCUAUUAGGUUUGUCCGAAUCCCUAACUAAUGCUCUCCCUCCACCCCUGGCAGGACAUAUCAUCAUCAUAUGCUUCCUGGAGCACGCGGAACAAAUUUUGUGUAAAUGAGAAUUUCAGACAUAAUAAUAGCGGAGUGACUUCAAAAAAUUGAUUAGGUUUCCAACCUUCACAUUGUCCCGUACACGAGCAUUCUUGUCGAUAAUAGCUCUCUUUAUGUUUGACUUCUUGCCAAUGCCGAUUGGAACACUGCCCUUAGCAGAAAGAAACCUCCUGUCAGCAUCCCUCUGAACCGAGAAAGGCGUGAAAGUGAGUUUAAAGGCGUGAAAAGAAGUUUUUUUAUUUUUUGUUCUGUACUUUCAAUUGAUGCUACUUACUCCAUGCUAUCUCACAUACAGAGCAAGUCUAAUAACAGAGGAAAUCCUUUUUUUAAAAAAAAAUCAGUUAAAUCAGAUUUGGGAUAGUUUGUGAAUUAUUAGCUAAUUGCCUCAUAAUAAUCUGCUCCCAUCAAUCGGGGAGCAGUUGCAAGAUGUAAGGCCCCGUUUAUAUCUUCUGGGAACUCAGCCCAUUUAUAUUCCACCAUACUGUAUGGCGCCACCGAAGUUGAAGGAAUUGAAGGAGCAGUUGCAAGAUAUAAGGCCCCGUUAAAAUUUCCUAAUGAUUUAAGAUUUUAAAGUGCGCCAACGGUAUUUGGAAAUAACUUGUUCGAGUAUUAAAGUAGACCCAUGGAAUAGAACCAUAUUAUUUUGAAAUGAAAAUAUAUGUUUAAGGUGUGUUGGAAAAUACUAAGGAGUUCUGUGAAUGGCAAGAAUUUGUGUGGAACCAGUUGGAUACAUUAAGUGGAAAGGAUAUCUCAAUUCGUAUAACAUCCUACAUCAAACGUAUGCUUCUACCAAACUAUAAAGACUUAGGAGGUGAUCUACCUAUUAAUUUAAAGCNCUUUNAGUCUAGUUUCCAACGCUUCAACCCGGUUUUUAUUUAUACAUUCCUACAAGAAGUUAUGACCAAAUUAUCAAAGGCUGGCGGAGGAGUCUGCGGAUGCGAAGCUUCCGAGGCCACGUCCGAAAGAAAGGCUGGCAGUGAAGUGUUUUCAUAGCAUCCAAAUCCGCAUCCAAGCUUCAAAAAGGAGUGAAGUGGGGAUGUGAAGUAUCCAGGGCCACAUCUGAAAUCCAGAAUUCUGGGCUUAUAAAUACAAAAUCGGGGGAAGAGAGUAUUUUGUGUAUUGGGGGUUAGGGUUCUUGAUGGUAAAGAGACAAUUUUAAGCUCAAAUCAAGUCCAAUCAACUAAGGUAAGUUGUUAAUAAUGUUUUGGGUUGAUUAUUACUCAAUAUACAUGAGUUCUAACAUCAUUCUUACAUCCAAAUACUAGAUUUCAUCAUCAAAUCCUCAAGAACACAAAAAUUACCAAAGUUGUGAUUUUUCAAGAUUGAUCUACUAGAGGUAAUUUCAAUGCUUCAAAAUCAUUUAUUAUGAGUAGUUAGAAGUAUUUGAAGCAUUUGUUAUAAGUUUAGCGGUUGAAAUAUUGAAUUAUAAAACUCUAGUUCAUGGCAUGAAUAGUACUUUUGAGAAAAUAAGAGAGGAGAUGAAUGGUAAUCUUGGCGAUAAAAUUUAUUAAUACAAUGAACCUAUGGAAUUUGUUACUAAUAUUUGUCCCAUUGGAUGUUGUUAUUGUAGAUUGAAGUUGCUUAGUGUAGUGGAUUAUUGUAGUAUUAUUAAGGGACAGAUUUGAGGUAUGUUGGCUA